CCCCGUUACAAGGAAACAGGUUCCCCGGUCCAAGUCCUCCGGGGAUUAAAAGGGAACUCCGGUGCGGCCCAGACGGACCAAAGCCGGGACUGCCCCCGCAACUGUGAGCGGCGAGCGCUCUUCCCAGACGUGCCACUGGCCCUUGGGCCGGGAAGGCGGGAAGAGAGCCCAGACCCGCAAGUCAGGAGACCUGCCGUUUCCGAUCCGUGCCA
rnacentral:ncRNA from 2 species